AGAAUGAUGGAGGUAGAGCACUGUUUGGACUAGGGGCCCAUCUCGGGUUACCGAAUUCAGAUAAACUCCGAAUGCCAUUCAUUCAUAUCCGGGAGUCAGACUGUGAGUGAUAAGAUCCAUAGUCGAAAGGGAAACAGCCCAGACCACCAGCUAAGGUCCCAAAAUAUAUGUUAAGUGGAAAAGGAUGUGGGGUUGCACAGACAACUAGGAUGUUGGCUCAGAAGCAGCCACCAUUUAAAGAGUGCGUAAUAGCUCACUAGUCGAGUGACCCUGCGCCGAAAAUGUACCGGGGCUAAACAUAUUACCGAAGCUGUGGAUAACACCUAUGGUGUUAUGGUAGGAGAGCGUUCUAAGGGCGUUGAAGGUAGAUCGUGAGGACUGCUGGAGCGCUUAGAAGUGAGAAUGCCGGUAUGAGUAGCGAAAGACAGGUGAGAAUCCUGUCCACCGAAUGACUAAGGUUUCCUGGGGAAGGCUCGUCCGCCCAGGGUUAGUCGGGACCUAA
rnacentral:rRNA from 1 species